GACGAACGCUGGCGGCGUGCCUAACACAUGCAAGUCGAGCGGAGGCAUACGAGGAGCAAUCUGAGGAUGCCUGAGCGGCGGACGGGUGAGUAACGCGUGAGCAACCUGCCUUCCACAGGGGGAUAACGUACCGAAAGGUACACUAAUACCGCAUGAGACCACGGUACCGAUGGUAGUGGGGUCAAAGGAGCAAUCCGGUGGGAGAUGGGCUCGCGUCCGAUUAGGUAGUUGGCGGGGUAACGGCCCACCAAGCCUGUGAUCGGUAGCCGGCCUGAGAGGGUGAACGGCCACAUUGGAACUGAGAGACGGUCCAAACUCCUACGGGAGGCAGCAGUGGGGAAUAUUGGGCAAUGGGGGGAACCCUGACCCAGCAACGCCGCGUGAGGGAAGAAGGUUUUCGGAUUGUAAACCUCUGUUCUUGGAGAAGAGAAGAAGACGGUAUCCAAGGAGGAAGCCCCGGCUAACUACGUGCCAGCCGCCGCCGUAAGAC
rnacentral:rRNA from 1 species